GACGAACGCUGGCGGCGUGCUUAACACAUGCAAGUCGAACGAAGAGCGAUGGAAGCUUGCUUCUAUCAAUCUUAGUGGCGAACGGGUGAGUAACGCGUAAUCAACCUGCCCUUCAGAGGGGGACAACAGUUGGAAACGACUGCUAAUACCGCAUACGAUCUAAUCUCGGCAUCGAGGAUAGAUGAAAGGUGGCCUCUACAUGUAAGCUAUCACUGAAGGAGGGGAUUGCGUCUGAUUAGCGAGUUGGAGGGGUAACGGCCCACCAAGGCGAUGAUCAGUAGCCGGUCUGGGAGGAUGAACGGCCACAUUGGGACCGAGACACGGCCCAGACUCCUACGGGAGGCAGCAGUGGGGAAUCUUCCGCAAUGGACGAAAGUCUGACGGAGCAACGCCGCGUGAGUGAUGACGGCCUUCGGGUUGUAAAGCUCUGUUAAUCGGGACGAAAGGCCUUCUUGCGAAUAGUGAGAAGGAUUGACGGUACCGGAAUAGAAAGCCGCGGCUAACUACGUG
rnacentral:rRNA from 1 species